ACAAUUCAGUUUGACUAAGGAGUUUGUGGCCACCAUGGAUCUGAACCAAGUUACUGAGGGCCCAACAAACGUAGUAAUUAAAGCUGGGUUCAAUUGGUUUUUAUUUUGAAGCAGUUGGGACGUGAUCUAAAGUGAGGACAACACCAUCAAUGUCAUGUCCAGACAAUUCCCUGGUUGUGUUUUUGCUUGCUGGUAUUUAGUUUCCCCAGCUACUGGAAGACAGAAUAUAGUUGACAGUCUGCUCCAGUUAACUAAUAGACCUGGAUGGGAUUGAGUACUUUUUUGGGGGAGGGGGGCUUUCCUAGGAUUCUGUUAAGACUGUUUGACUGAGACAUUAGUCUCCAUCUGGAAUGGGUAUAUAAACAAGACUUUGGACCAAAUUAUUCUUAUGUGGCCUGUUCUUGUUUGUUGAUCCCAAAUCAUUUUCUGAUUUUCCAAGGAGAUUCAGAAGAUGAAAUGACAGAUGGGACUUUGAGCUCGCCUAGAGAAAGACAAUGUGCCAACCCAGUCAAGUCUGUACAAUCAUAUUGUGGUGUUCCCAGAUGUGAUAGGGGAGAAGACAACAGAGGAGAGGAGAGAUCAUUUGGAAUAAGGGAACUAGAGUAAAAUGACAGUGUUUUUUGAGCAUGGACAAGAGUCUACUCCAGAGAACCCUUCUACAUAUGAUAUGCUGAGCUGGAUAUGCCAGUCUGUGGAGAGAUUGUGAAAAGCCCCACCCUUGACUGAAAAAUCAGCUCCAUUUCAGGAAACAUUUUUACUGAUUAAGGCUUCUGUGGCACUACUUGCUUCCUCCUAAACUGGGGAAAAGGACAUAUUCUUGUUCUAAUUCCAUUUUAAGAUGACCUGCAUACAUAGAUUGGAGUUGGCAGGGCAGGGAACACCCUUCUCAGAUGUUCUAUUUUUGAGUUCCAUUUUCUGAGGACUCACUUUAAGUCCAAACCAAUUAUAGGCAAGAUUUACCAUGCAGAAAGAGCACUCUGUCAGUGAAGUUAAAAUGAAACCCUAAGGAAGUUCUUUCCCUGUGACAAAUGCCUCAUAAUUUGAGAUAGAACUAGAAAGAAGUAGGGAUCUGACUUAAUUUCACAUGGUUAAUGUUAGGUAAACUCUAGACUGCCUGUCUGCAGAAUUGUAAGUUUGUGUUUGGGGCAGGAAUAACUGCUUUAAUUCUAUUGGCCGCCACCUAUCGGCAGUCUGUAUAAAUAGACGUUAAGCAGCUGUUAGAGCUGCUUCUGUGUUAACCAAUAAACAUGUUGUUAUUUUCACCUUCGCCUCCUCAGUGUCUCAAAGAUCCCAGUACAUAAUGGCGGAUCAACACAAAAGCCCUUAGCAGCACAAGGCAUUGAGAGGUCAGUAACAGCUGACCAUGGCCAAGGUCGGCAAGCUGUCGGAGUUCAACAUGUCGCAGCCUGAGAGGUGGAGCUCGUAUGUUUCAUGAGUCGAGAACUAUCUAAGAGUGAACCCAGUUAACGAAGAUGUUUUAAAGGCUGCAACUUUACUUUGCGUGUGUGGCCAGGCAACCUUCGAUAUAAAUGAAAACUUGGUUGCUCCAGCUAUACUAGAGUCGGUCGCCUACCCCAAGCUCAAGAAAAAGCUCAAGGAGCAUUUCGAGCCUAAGCUCUCCAUCAUUGCAUGGAAACAUGCGUUCGAACAAAGAGAGCUGCAACCAGGACAGUCAGCUGCUGAAUUUGUGGCUGUGCUUUGACAGGCGUCCAGGGUCUGAAAUUUCACAGACCUAGAAGAGAGGCCUAGAGACCAUCUGGUAUGCACUUUACAGAACAGGGAUCUCCAGCAGAAAUUGUUUGCGAAGGAGACCUUGACAUUCCAGGAUGCUCUGAAAGAGGUAAUGGCAGAAGAAGCUGCCGGGGAGCCGUCAAACCUUACAACCCUCCAAGAAUAUUCCCAGCCCAGCAACUGUCCACCAUGAAGAUGCGGAAAGAGCCGACAACCCAGACAGGGACAAUGAGGUCAACUGGCUGCAGAAGCUACCAGAAAGAGGGUGGCAGUCACUGGUUAAGGCAGCGCCCUUCCCUAGCUGUGUGGGCUGUGGUGGCAGAUAUCGGUGCUCAGAAUGUAGAUUCUGUACAGCAGUGUGCUGAGCAGGUGGCAAACAAGGCCACCUCACCAGUGUCUAUAAAGGUCGCCAGAGGGAUUCUCUACAAGAAGAAUUUCCCAGGAAAGGUACAGGGGCCCCGGGGCAAAACAGAGUUGGAUUUUGCUCCAGCAGAAGGAGCAUUUUUAGAACAGGAGCCCAUCGUUCCCUUAAAGAAAAGCUUAGGCUUAAAGUCAAGCUUCAAGGAAUUUCAUGUUCCAUGGAAUUGGACACCAGGUAAGCCCUUUCCAUAGUUUCUCAAAGAACUUUUAACUACAUCUGCAGUCGCAGCGGCAAAAGAGUCAAACUCAAGCCGUCAAAUCUAGUGUUGACAGAUUUUCAAAAUUCCUGUGUAGCAGUUAAAGGGGAGGCUAUGCUAACAGUACAGUUCAAAGAGUUUGAGGGUUCCCUCGAUGUCAUGGUAGUCGAAGGCCAUCGCACAAGCCUCAUUGGUUUAGACUAGUUUGAUGCCCUGGGCAUCCACGUGACUGGCAUAAAUAAAAUGCAAGCAGCGGACCUGAUGACUGUUUGCCAGGAAUAUGCUGAUGUCUUCAACCUUAGCUUAGCCAAGUACAAGGAAGCUCCAAUCGCCCUUCACCUUGACCCAACCUUAACCCCAAUCAGGAUCAAGCCUCGCACAGUGCCUUUUGCCCUCAAAUCAAAAAUUGAUGCAGAGCUGGAAGAGCUGGUGCAACAAGAUGUGUUGCAGCCAGUAGAUAGCAGUUUGUGGGAAACUCCCAUAGUCACAACACUUAAGUCCAACAAUGAGGUCUGCAUAUGCGUGGAUUAUAAGUGUACUAUAAAUAAAGCACUUCAACAGCAUGCAUAUCUGGUACCUGUAGUUAGCUAUAUCUUGGUAUCAUUGCAGGGAGGUCUCAUAUUUGCCAAAUUGGAUUUGGCACAGACAUACCAGCAACUGCCCAUGGACAAUGCCACGGCAGAAGCUCAAACUAUAGUAACCCACAGGGCAGCAUUCAGGGUUCGUCGCGUGCAGUUUGGGGUCAGUGUGUCCCCAGGUCUUUUCAGGAGUGUGAUGGAGCACACACUCAAAAACAUCCUCAUAGCUGGGGAGUCAGUAGAAAUAUUACCAGAAUGGCUCAAAGCCAUCCUUUAGCGUUUCCGCAAAGCGGGGCUGAAGCUUAAGAGAAACAAAUACCAAAUAGGUGUGGACUCAACAGAGUUCCUCGGUUUUCACAUAGAUGCUGCAGGCAUUCACCCCGCCGAAUCUAAGCUCCAAGCUAUUCAGCAGGCUCCCAGACCAAAGUCAAACAGGGAGCUAUGGGCAUUUUUGGGGUUACUCAAUUUCUACCAUGCAUUCCUGCCUCAUAAGGCAGCAUUGGCAGAGCCCUUACACGGACUCUUGGACAAGAAGGCCCCACGAGAACAGUUUCAAGGCAGUCAAAUCACUGUUGUCUUUGCACUCCGUGCUUGCUUAUUUUAAUGAAAAGCUGCCUAUCAGCAUUGCAUGUGAUGCAUCUCCUUACAGAAUAGGAACCAUGUUGAGCUAUUUAAUGGCCAACAGGAGGCAAGCUCCCAUAGCUUAUUAUUCAAGGACACUGUCACCGGUGAAACACAACUAUGCCCAAAUAGAUAAAGACGCACUUGCCAUCGUGGCCGGCAUCAAAAAAUUUCAUGAUUUCCUUUAUGGUCUCCCAUUCACAGUCUUCACCGACCAUAAGCCACUACUUGGUCUGGUCACGACAGAUAAACAAACUCCUCAGAUCCUAUCUCCAUGGAUACUGAGAUGGUCCAUCUUUCUUGCCGCUUAUAAUUACAAUCUAAUUCACAAACCGGGCAGGGAAAUGGGCCACACUGACGCGCUCAGCAGACUGCCCCUGCCAAUGUUGGCCAUUAACAUUAUUUAAAAUAAUUAAAACAUUCUUUUAAUUUUUAUCAUUUACAUUUCAUUUUGUCCCUCCUUUGACAUCCUUUAUUU